CUCUCCACCAAAACAAGAAGACUUUGCUGCAAAGAACCAGUUUUCUGCAGCAAUCCUAAUCCUGAGCACCGGAGUCAUCGUUUGGAGGAAGCAAUCGUCACUACUGUUUCAGUAUAGUGCAUGAUUCUCUCCAAGACCGAAUCAUCGUUGUCAUCUCUGUGAACGUGCUGGUGGCAUCGAUCCUAGUGGCCAUGUUGAUGCUACCGUUGGCCCUUGCCAAACAGUAAGGUCAUCCCUCUGAUUUCCCUCUCUAGUAUUGUUGUUCGUACCUCUCUCAUAUGUCUCCUUGAUUUGUAAUGAGGCAUGGAUGAUCCCCAACGUGCAUUCGGUACUGUUCUGUUGAUCACCAGCAACUACAUCUUUUCGAUGCUAGCUGCUGCCAACCACAUCAUCAGUUGUUAAAAUUCCUUGAUGUAAGAACCUUGUAAUAUCCUCCAUGAUGUUUUCAUGUUCCUGUAGCAAACCAUGUACUCAUAUUUAUUUUGAUCGAAUUUCUGCAAAGUUUUCCCCGCAA